CGGUUUAGCUCAACACAACUUCCGGGUGAUCCCAACAUCAGCUGUUGUUGCCAAGAUGGCGCAUAGCCUGGCCGAUUUUCAGGUCCCCUCGGACGCUGAAGCCGCUGGGGACCGCGGGAGAGGCGCUCUGAGGCGCUGCAGGGGACGGCCGCGGCUCACGGACACUGACCGAGCCCAGCGGCGUCUCGAGUCCCGGAAAAAGUACGACAUUAGGCGGGUGUACCUGGGAGAGGCGCACAAGCUGUGGAGUGAUCUGCGGCGGCGCACAAGUCUGAGCGAUGCCGGACUGGCGGAGUAUUUAAUCCUGCUUCACGCCACUUGUGGGGAUAAAUAUCUGCAGAAACACUCGGGGAACAAGACUGCCUCUGUGGAGUCUGUAAAUCAGAGAAAAAUUAAGAAGGAGCGAGAGUCAAGCCUCCAUAGCCUCGUGUGUUGGUACCAGAAGCACCUGCGUUCCUGCCCCCAUGAGCCCCAGCUCAGAGCUCUGGAGCUCCAGCCCAACUUCUCCACGGCUGCCAUCUGGCAAUGCGACGGCGACCAUUCGUUCGUGCAACAGCUUUUCUCGCCGCUGAGGGAGGCAAGUGACUCGGAGCGGGAGGAGAGACAGCAUGGAGACGACUGUGAAAGUGCUGCAAAAUUGGUGCCAAAGAGAUUAGCCGGCCGAAGGAGAAAAACAAACACUCCGCCAAAAGGUUUAGAAGAAUCUUUGAUAGUUUCUGAGGUUGGAGACAUAGCCACAAAAGCCUUAACACAUUCUGCCAGUGUGGAGAGCGCCGCCAAUGACCUCCCCCUGACAGAACCGCAGGUGUGGGAGAUGGAGAUGGUGCUGGAGCGACCACAAGGCUCCCCUGAGGCAAUGUUCCACUCCCUCACGUCAGAAGAGGAGGCUGACGAUGUGAGGCAAGACCAGGAAGAAGGAGCGACGGAGCCACUCGGAGAGGACGAGCACACCGGGUGCGGUUACGAGCGUGUCGCCAUGGAAACGUCCUUUGCGGACAAACUGAGGAAAGCGGACCAGCUCCCGGGGGAAUCGGUGCAAACGUCACCCCAGCCGGAGCUUUUGGCCCCGCCUCCCGUACAGGCAGAAGAGGACGGCGGGGAACUUUAUGAUCCUCACGCUCUGCAGGCGGUGGUGACGAGUUGUGACAUUCCUAACCAUCAGACGGCUCUCGAAGGCUCCCAGCUAAUCAUCAUAACUGGCCCCAGCUAUGAGGCUCUUGCGUCAGAGGGCAUCCAGCUCAACAUGGGUGCCGGGAACGUGGAGGAAGUCACCUGCACUGUCCUCGACGGCGUCGGCUACGACCAAGCGUGUGACUCUGCAUCAAAAAUCCCAGCGGCGGGAGACGACGGCUCAAUGGCAGGAUUGAGUGACAAGCAGCUGCUGGAGCCUAACGUUGACACUUUGGAGCUAAGUAGUGACCGUGAGCUACAGCGCAGUCUCAGCAGGUCAAAGAGAAACCGGCGAGGCCCGGUCAUCGAGGCUGAUGGGAUGCUGAAGAUGUUCCAUUGUCCAUACGAGGGGUGCAGUCAAGUUUAUGUAGCCAUAAGCAGCUUCCAGAAUCAUGUCAACCUCGUUCACAGGAAAGGCAGGACCAAAGUUUGUCCACAUCCGGGCUGUGGAAAGAAAUUCUACCUGUCCAACCACCUGCACCGCCACAUGAUCAUCCACUCAGGGGUCCGAGAUUUCAUAUGCGAGACAUGUGGGAAAUCGUUCAAGCGGAAGAACCACUUGGAAGUUCACAGGCGGACUCAUACAGGAGAAACCCCUCUACAAUGCGAAAUCUGCGGCUAUCAGUGUCGUCAGCGUGCGUCCCUAAACUGGCACAUGAAGAAACACACGCCAGAAGCCCACUACAACUACACGUGCGAGUUCUGCGACAAGCGCUUCGAGAAGCUGGACAGUGUCAAAUUCCACAAGCUGAAGAGCCACCCGGACAAACUGUCCUCCUGAGGGCCCUCGGACUAUGGCCGAGAAGGAGCCGGGGACACCAGAGGAAGACUGUUGCACGGCUGUGCGGGACACAGCCGGUUCCUGUUCUCAAGGCCUGAACGGGAAUGAUGGGUAGCAGUGUUUAACCGGACGACAUGACUGUGAUAACGUGCAGCAUGCCUCUUACGUAAGGCCCUCUGCUGGUGUCGGUGAUGGGAGUGUGGGGUGUGCGCGGGACACGUCAUACGGUGACUGAUACUCAACCUUUCACGCGCUCAUCUAAGCUGGUCCUCAGGGAAUGUAAACAGUGUCGGGAAAUGUGGACGCAGCAGGGUGCAUAGGAGCGUGGCUAUUUUUCAAGAUUAGAUAUGGAUCCUAGACGUGCACUUAAUCCUUGGUCAAUGAAGUAGUUGCCCUCUGUUAAUAAUUUAUUCUUUUAUGUGCAGUUUAGUCCACUUCAAUGUGUCACUCCUCGUCAUAUCGUCGCCGUCAAAAGGAAAUAUGUCACCGAGCUAUAAUUCAACUCUCUGUUUGCGAAGUUGCACCUUUUUAUGCGUUUCCCCGUGAUUCAUUGAUGUGGCUGUGAAGAAAGACUCGGUGUCCCCAACUAUCACAGAAACAACUACUCACACGUUUAAAUAUGAAUCCAUCCAGCGCAAGAACUGCGUCGAAGACUCUUAACACGGAUAAUGAUGCUCGGUUGUAAGUAUUUGUGUAUGUCACAAUCGUGGCCGCAUUUCCUGCACACUUGUUUAUUUGUGGCGGUCCGCCUCGUAUACGCGUGGAUUUCGACAAUUCGAUUCCACCCUGGCUAAUAAACACAUUAUAAGGGGACUGUCUGUGAUUGCAGCGUAACGUCAGUUCUUAACACACCUGGUCCGCCAGAGAAUAAGAAUACAUAACUGGAACAGGGGUCAGUGUUCCAGUGACUUACUAAGUAUUCUGAUCACUCAGACCGAGCUCUUUCCACCCCCCAAAUACGUAGGUGCGUAUGUAUAUGUGUAUAUGUAUGUAUAUGAGUGUGUAUAUAUAUACAUAUAUAUAUAUGUAUACCGUAUUUCCUUGAAUAGCCGCAGGGGCGUUAAUUAAUUUAAAACCUCCUGUCACUCCGGCGUUUACCGGAAGCCUGCGGGAUGGCCGUGCAUGCGGUAAUUAUUUUAAAACCUCUUCUCACUCCGGCGUUUACCAAAAGGAAUGCGGUAAAUUUAGGCGUGCGCUUUGAGUGUGAUGUAAGCAUACCAUCAUGAAAAGCACAUUUAAUAAAAAAAAACGUUAUUAUGGUCUUACCUGUACUUAUAAAUGGAGUCCAUUUGCAGCUCCUUCUGACCAAAAGCAUCGAUAACUUGGUUAUAGAAGUCUUCCUUAUUUUCUUUCUUCAGUUUUAAAAGUCUCUCUGUCUCGAUGGAGAUAUUCCUUUAAUUAUUACCUCCUGCUUCGAUUGAAAGUCCAGUUUAGAAAACUGUUUUAUUUUAGAUACCGGUAUGUAAUCCUCCAUGUUAAAAGUUCAGGCGAGAGAAAAAAAAAUUAAAAAAAAUCUCUUGCUGCGUGUUGUCACUUCUUCUGCAGUACCGGAAGUCGCAAGAAGGAUCACUAGCGCGGCAGCGCCCUCUACCACCAGGAGGUUUAAUGACUUAGCGCCCUCUACCACCAGGAGGCGGGAGUCAUUUAAUGACUUAUACAGUAUUUGACACACGCAGCUACGGUAUAUUAAUAAAACAUAGCUGCUUACUGUUCUUUUUAGCAUACUGUACCGGUAUUCAAUAGCUUGGACCUUAAAUCCUACUGAAUAGCUCUUUAUCUUUUUUCCUUUGUGUGAUUGCAAACUACUGAAAGCAGCUUCCUCCAUUUUGAAAAGGAGGACAGGUAAAGCGUCACUCGUGACGUAACGAAUUUGACCCGGUGGAAGUUCUAGCCAUAUGCUAAAUAUUUUGCGAAACAAGUUUGACCCGGUGAAAAUUAUAGACAUGCGAUAAUAAAAUUAAUAUUUUGCGAAACGAAUUUGAUCCGGCGUUAAUAAUGAACCGGCGAUAAGGCCAAGCAUGCGUUAAUUAUUUUGAGAAACGAGUUUGACCCGGCAGUAAUUCUAGACGUGCGAAUACUAUAUUCCCUGCGCCAAUUCAAGGAAAUACGGUAUACAAGACUGUUUCAGAAAAUUAGAAUAUUGUGAUGAAGUCCUUUAUUUCCUGUAAUGCAACUAAUAACAUGAAUAUGUCAUACAUUCUGGAUUCAUUACACAUCAACUGAAAUAUUGCAAGCCUUUUAUUCAUUUAAUAUUGCUGAUUAUGGCAUACAGCUUCAGAAAACUCAAAAAUCCCAUCUCAAAAAAUUAGAAUAUUUCCUCAGACCAAGUAAAAAAUAAAGAUUUUUAACAGCAAAACAAAAUCAAACAUUUGAAAAUGUCAAUUAAUGCACUCAGUACUUGGUUGGGAAUCCUUUUGCAUGGAUUACUGCAUCAAUGCGGCGUGGCAUGGAGGCAAUCAGCCUGUGGCAUUGCUGAGGUGUUAUGGAUGCCCAGGAUGCUUCAAUAGCGGCCUUUAGCUCAUUUGCAUUAUUGGGUCUGGUGUCUUUCAGCUUCUUCUUCACAAUAACCCACACAUUCUCUAUGGGGUUCAGGUCAGGGGAGUUGGCAGGCCAAUCGAGGACAGUAAUGCCAUGGUCAGUACACCAGUUACUGGUGGUUUUGGAGCACAUACUUGUU